rnacentral:rRNA from 1 species
GAUGAACGCUGGCGGCGUGCCUAAUACAUGCAAGUCGAGCGAACAGACGAGGAGCUUGCUCCUCUGACGUUAGCGGCGGACGGGUGAGUAACACGUGGAUAACCUACCUAUAAGACUGGGAUAACUUCGGGAAACCGGAGCUAAUACCGGAUAACAUGUUGAACCGCAUGGUUCAACAGUGAAAGACGGUUUUGCUGUCACUUAUAGAUGGAUCCGCGUCGCAUUAGCUAGUUGGUAAGGUAACGGCUUACCAAGGCAACGAUGCGUAGCCGACCUGAGAGGGUGAUCGGCCACACUGGAACUGAGACACGGUCCAGGCUCCUACGGGAGGCAGCAGUAGGGAAUCUUCCGCAAUGGGCGAAAGCCUGACGGAGCAACGCCGCGUGAGUGAAGAAGGUCUUCGGAUCGUAAAACUCUGUUAUUAGGGAAGAACAAAUGUGUAAGUAACUAUGCACGUCUUGACGGUACCUAAUCAGAAAGCCACGGCUAACUACGUG